rnacentral:rRNA from 1 species
GAUGAACGCUAGCUACAGGCUUAACACAUGCAAGUCGCAGGGUAACAUGAGGAAAGCUUGCUUUCCUUGAUGACGACUGGCGCACGGGUGAGUAACGCGUAUCCAACCUUCCCAUAACUACGGGAUAACCCGUUGAAAGACGGCCUAAUACCGUAUGAUAUCGUUUGCUGACAUCAAAUAACGAUUAAAGGUUUAGCGGUUAUGGAUGGGGAUGCGGCUGAUUAGCUUGUUGGCGGGGUAACGGCCCACCAAGGCGACGAUCAGUAGGGGUUCUGAGAGGAAGGUCCCCCACAUUGGAACUGAGACACGGGCCAAACUCCUACGGGAGGCAGCAGUGAGGAAUAUUGGUCAAUGGGCGAGAGCCUGAACCAGCCAAGUAGCGUGCAGGACGACGGCCCUAUGGGUUGUAAACUGCUUUUAGGUGGGGAUAAAGUGCGUGACGUGUCAUGCAUUGCAGGUACCACAUGAAUAAGGACCGGCUAAUUCCGUG